UGACAAACUAAAUAAAUAAUGCCGAUGAUCCGACUAAAAUGUAACCAAAAAAAAAAAAGCCGAAAAAGACGAAUACUAUAUUAUUUAUUAAGCAUGAUACAUACUGUAUAUAAUACAACACGUCGUGGCAGCUUGACCCAACAAAUACUAUACUCCAAAAAACAUCCUAUAAAGUACACACGAAAAAAUCAUUAACGUGACUCGUUACUGGGCCGGAACUAUAUACAUC